AUUGAACGCUGGCGGCAGGCCUAACACAUGCAAGUCGAACGCAGUGGGGACGGGUGAGUAACACGUGGGUAACCUCCCCAUCAGCGGGGAUAACACUUGGAAACAGGUGCUCAACCGAUACUGAAGGCUGGACCCGCGGUGCAUUAGCUAGUUGGGGAGGUAACGGCUCACCAAUGCCACGAGGCAUACCCGACCUGAGAGGGGGAUCGGCCACACUGGGACUGAGACACGGCCCAGACUCCUACGGGAGGCAGCAGUAGGGAAGCUUCGGAAAUGGACGAAAGUCUGAACGAGCAACGCCGCGUGAGUGAAGAAGGUUUUCGGAUCGUAAAACUCUGUUGUUAGAGAAGCGGUAUCUAACCAGAAAGCCACGGCUAACUACGUGCCAGCAGCCGCGGUAAUAC
rnacentral:rRNA from 1 species